rnacentral:rRNA from 1 species
UACGUAGGGGGCGAGCGUUGUCCGGAAUCAUUGGGCGUAAAGAGCUCGUAGGCGGGUCAGUAAGUCAGGUGUGAAAGCUCCGAGCUCAACUCGGAGAGGCCACCUGAUACUGCUGUGACUAGAAUCCAGUAGGGGAGUGUGGAACUCCUGGUGUAGCGGUGAAAUGCGCAGAUAUCAGGAAGAACACCAGCGGCGAAGGCGGCACUCUGGGCUGGUAUUGACGCUGAGGAGCGAAAGUGUGGGUAGCAAACAGG